CAGUCGCCGCGGUAAUACGAAGGGGGCUAGCGUUGCUCGGAAUGACUGGGCGUAAAGGGCGCGUAGGCGGCGAUCAAAGUCAGGCGUGAAAUUCCUGGGCUCAACCUGGGGGCUGCGCUUGAUACUUGGUUGCUUGAGUGGGGAAGAGGGUCGUGGAAUUCCCAGUGUAGAGGUGAAAUUCGUAGAUAUUGGGAAGAACACCGGUGGCGAAGGCGGCGACCUGGUCCUUGACUGACGCUGAGGCGCGAAAGCGUGGGGAGCAAACAGGAUUAGAUACCCCUGUAGUCCCUGUCUCUUAUAC
rnacentral:rRNA from 1 species